rnacentral:rRNA from 1 species
UAUUGCGCAAUGGGCGGAAGCCUGACGCAGCGACGCCGCGGGGGGGAUGACGGCCUUCGGGUUGUAAACCUCUUUCGCCAGGGACGAAGAGCAAUUGACGGUACCUGGAGAAGAAGCACCGGCCAACUACGUGCCAGCAGCCGCGGUAACACGUAGGGUGCGAGCGUUGUCCGGAAUUAUUGGGCGUAAAGAGCUCGUAGGCGGUGUGUCGCGUCGGCCGUGAAAACUUGGGGCUUAACUCUGAGCGUGCGGUCGAUACGGGCAUCACUUGAGUUCGGCAGGGGAGACUGGAAUUCCUGGUGUAGCGGUGAAAUGCGCAGAUAUCAGGAGGAACACCGGUGGCGAAGGCGGGUCUCUGGGCCGAUACUGACGCUGAGGAGCGAAAGCGUGGGGAGCGAACAG